GAUGAACGCUGGCGGCGUGCCUAAUACAUGCAAGUCGAGCGAAUGGAUUGAGAGCUUGCUCUUAUGAAGUUAGCGGCGGACGGGUGAGUAACACGUGGGUAACCUGCUCAUAAGACUAGGAUAACUCCGGGAAACCGGGGCUAAUACCGGAUAACAUUUUGAACCGCAUGGUUCGAAAUUGAAAGGCGGCUUCGGCUGUCACUUAUGGAUGGACCCGCGUCGCAUUAGCUAGUUGGUGAGGUAACGGCUCACCAAGGCAACGAUGCGUAGCCGACCUGAGAGGGUGAUCGGCCACACUGGGACUGAGACACGGCCCAGACUCCUACGGGAGGCAGCAGUAGGGAAUCUUCCGCAAUGGACGAAAGUCUGACGGAGCAACGCCGCGUGAGUGAUGAAGGCUUUCGGGUCGUAAAACUCUGUUGUUAGGGAAGAACAAGUGCUAGUUGAAUAAGCUGGCACCUUGACGGUACCUAACCAGAAAGCCACGGCUAACUACGUGCCAGCCGCCGCGGUAA
rnacentral:rRNA from 1 species